rnacentral:rRNA from 1 species
UACGUAGGGUGCGAGCGUUAAUCGGAAUUACUGGGCGUAAAGCGUGCGCAGGCGGUUCGUUGUGUCUGAUGUGAAAGCCCCGGGCUCAACCUGGGAAUGGCAUUGGAAACUGGCGAGCUAGAGUGUGGCAGAGGGGGGGUGGAAUUCCGCGUGUAGCAGUGAAAUGCGUAGAGAUGCGGAGGAACACCGAUGGCGAAGGCAGCCCCCUGGGCUGACACUGACGCUCAGGCACGAAAGCGUGGGGAGCAAACAGG